rnacentral:rRNA from 1 species
CCUACGGGGGGCAGCAGUGAGGAAUAUUGGUCAAUGGACGAGAGUCUGAACCAGCCAAGUAGCGUGAAGGAUGACUGCCCUAUGGGUUGUAAACUUCUUUUAUAUGGGAAUAAAACGUUCCACGUGUGGGAUUUUGUAUGUACCAUAUGAAUAAGGAUCGGCUAACUCCGUGCCAGCAGCCGCGGUAAUACGGAGGAUCCGAGCGUUAUCCGGAUUUAUUGGGUUUAAAGGGAGCGUAGGUGGAUUGUUAAGUCAGUUGUGAAAGUUUGCGGCCCAACCGUAAAAUUGCAGUUGAAACUGGCAGUCUUGAGUACAGUAGAGGUGGGCGGAAUUCGUGGUGUAGCGGUGAAAUGCUUAGAUAUCACGAAGAACUCCGAUUGCGAAGGCAGUUCACUGGACUGCAACUGACACUGAGGCUCGAAAGUGUGGGUAUCAAACAGGAUUAGAUACCCCUGUAGUC